rnacentral:lncRNA from 1 species
GCUGGGGGUGGUGGUGGUAUAGUGGUAGGUGGUGGGGGUGGUAGCUCAGCCAAUAUGGUUCUUGCAGAGUACAUGAGGACCUGGGCACACACCUCAGCAUCCAUUCACAGAAUCCUGUACAGUAGUACACACUUGUGAUCCCAGCACUGAGGUGAGACCAUGGAGGUACCUGGGUUUGCCCAUCUAGCUUAGCCUAACCAGGUGAGCCCCAGGCCAGGAGGAGACUCCAUCUCAAACAACUGUGGGCAGCAUGGAAGGAGGAGCCAAGCCCGAGUUUGUUCUAUUUCCAUGCAAAUAUACACAUCGCCUAUCAGCCUUGGUCAUGCCAUUUUGAAGUCUCUCCCUUUGGGUUAAGUGAUGGCAAUUUCCACCACAGAAGUCAGCACUGCAGACUUGGUUUCCUGGAUCCUGCCCUGCCCCUGCAUCCCUCUGAUGAUGGCUGAUCAGGAGGGAUGCUUAUCCAUCACCGGAUGUUUGCUCAUUUGCUGCUCACUGUUCUUUGGUCACUCCUGCCAGUGGCCAAUCUGGAACUGGAAAGGACUAAUAACAGCCUCCUUCCCAGCCUCUCCACCUUCUGCCCUGUAAUUACUUUAGCUUGUAAGCAGACGUCAGACCCUGAUUCUUAUACCGAUGCACUCUGUCUUCUCCCAGAUUAAAAGCCUGCAUUGUAUUAAGUCGUUGGUUUCCGUGUCUGUCUCUCACCACAGAUAAACAUGCACAAAACAAAGAAGCAAAAGCGAUCAAGCAAAACCUCAAGGUUUACCCCCACUUCCUCCAGCGAGGCUCUGCCUCCUAAAGGUUCUGCAUCUUAUCGAAACAGCACGCCAUCUGGGAACCAAAUGUUCAAACACACGAACCUGUCGGGGCAUUUUGCACUCCAAC